rnacentral:tRNA from 1 species
GGGGAUUUAGCUCAGCGGCAUGAGCACCUGCCUUGCAAACGGGGUCGUGAGUUCAAUCCCCG